AAAAAAAAAGAUUAAUUCUUUCCUUUGCUUUUUUACAUGCCGUACCGAGUACCGGCACUGUCUUAGCUUCUCUCUCUCUCUCUCUCUCUCUGUGUGCCCACCUCUGGCUUCUCGAGCUCUGCAUUAGCGGUGCUGAGCAAGCCAUGUACGCGUGUUUCGCGGAUCAUCGUAGCUUAUGCAGAGCCCGUGGAACAUUUCUGUUCCUGUUUUUGUUACUUUCCUCUUUCUUCUUCGGCACUGGCACUUCUUGCUCGAACGGCAACUGCCAGGUAUUGGAUUCCUGCUCAUUGGUCACAGACUGUGGGGCAGGACUUUACUGUGGAAACUGCCCUGCUUUAGGCAAGACUCAACCCGUCUGCACCAGAGGCCAAGCUACUAUACCCACUUCAAUUAUCGGCGGGCUGCCUUUCAACAAGUAUACAUGGUUGGUGACACAUAAUUCGUUCAGCAUCGUGGAUGCACCAUCUUUGCCGAAUGUUCAAAGACUAACGUUUUAUAAUCAGGAAGAUACUGUUAGCAAUCAGUUGGGGAAUGGGGUGAGGGCUUUGAUGUUGGACGUGUACGAUUUUAACAAUGACAUCUGGCUCUGUCAUUCCUUUCGGGGGCAAUGCUUCAACUUCACUGCCUUUCAACCUGCAAUUAACACGUUAAGGGAAGUGGAGGCAUUCUUGAGGGCGAACCCUACAGAGAUUGUUACCAUUAUACUUGAGGACUACGUGCAUACGCCAAAAGGUUUGUCAAAUUUGUUCAUAAGUGCUGGUCUGGACAAGUACUGGUUUCCUGUGUCGAAAAUGCCCAAAAAGGGUGAAGAUUGGCCCACUGUAACCGAGAUGGUUCAAGAGAAUCACCGUCUUGUCGUUUUUACUUCCGUUGCCUCAAAGGAAGCCGAGGAAGGAAUUGCAUAUCAGUGGAAGUACAUGGUAGAAAAUGACCCUGGGGAUCCUGGAGUGAGACAAGGGUUGUGUCCCAACAGAAAAGAAUCAAGACCUCUUACUUCCAGAAGUGCUUCUCUUUUCCUGAUGAAUUACUUCCCGACAUAUCCAGUUGAAGAUGAAGCUUGCAAAGAGCACUCUACAGCGCUUUCUGAGAUGCUUGGUACCUGUUAUAAAGCAGCUGGGAAUGUUAUGCCUAAUUUUUUGGCAGUCAACUUUUACAUGAGAAGUGACGGAGGUGGUGUUUUUGAUGCUUUGGAUAGAAUGAAUGGUCAAGCAUUGUGCGGCUGUAGUACUAUUGCUGCCUGCCAGGUUGGAGCACCAUUUGGUUCUUGCAAGAAUGUCACUGUGCCCGAUAGAAGUCCCAUGACUAAUGCUGCUGGAAGCUUUUCUGGAUCUGUCCAGUUCUCUAAAUCUGCUUCAGCUCUCCAUUCUCUGAAUCUCUUCACCUCCUGCUUGUUACUUUUUCUACCGAUAAUGUUUUUAUUGCCACUACAAUGGCAAUUAUUUGGAUAGAAGAUUAGUACCUCAAGGAGGGGCUUAUAAUUUGUUAGUGUGUAAAAUUUUCGUGUCGGAACUAGUAUAACAAAUCCCUGUCUUAUCGAGUGGAAGAUUAAGGAAUUGUAGUCAGAUAAGAGCCGUAGAGUGGAAUUCUCGAGAUUCUUGCAUUGAGGCAAGGAAAGUGUUAGAUAGGAAGAUUGGCCAGGAGAGACCUGAAAUGUACCACAGCAGAAUUCACUAAUCCUCCAGUUCUCCCAUUCCAUAAUAUACCACGAAAGGGUUUUUCUUAUUCCAUAGAAGGGAAAACAUUGGUUGGCAGACUGUUUAGACUUUAGAACCAGAACCAGUCUGCUACAGUUUGACAGCCUUGUUCCUUCCCAUAAUAAAUUAGAAGGUGCAGGAAGAUUUAACUUUAGAGAUCAUGAUAAUAGGAUAACAAUGAAGGUGGUGGCUAGAAUCUCGGGACGAGGCCCUUUUAAAGGGUGUAACAUUUCAUGGAAUUCACUAUUAGAUCUUUUGAUUUGAAGAACCGGAUUUGGAAAUAGACGGAGACAUACAUUUGGCUUUACAGAUUAGUCAAUGUCAUGUUACACCGACUAAAUUAAAGUUCGUUUCAAGAGUAAACCGGCAUUCAUUAGGUUUAUUCUCAUUUGAGAGAAAGGUCUUAGAACUGAUUAGCUAUUCUUACUGUAAACAACGGCUUCCAUAAGAUCUUGUUGCCUCUCGUACACUUUGAAUUAGACAAAUUAUUUGUUCCUACCGCAUGUCAUAUAAACUAAACUAUGCUGAGAAAGUAAGGGGAACCUCAAGAAUUUUCUUUCUCUUUUUUCCUCUACAUUUUUCUCAUAAGAUUUUUACUCUGGCUUCUUUGAUUCUUUUUUUUUUUUUUUUCUCUGGGGGUUCAAGCAUCUAUUUUCUCUUCCUAGAUUCUCCUAUCUUAAUUUAUUAAUUUUUAAACAAAAAACUACUAGUUAUAAUGAUCUUUUCUUGAUGGGUCGAGGCCUUCUUCACUAACUUUUUCUUUCUAUUGUUUCAUUGCUGAAGAGAAUCAAUCCGAUAGGUCAUACCAGAUGGAUGUUAGAGUAGUUAACCUGCAUUUUAAAACAAAAUAAUCCUCGAGUGUUUUUCAGAUUCAUUCUACUUGGCUGGGAAAGUUAAUCUUCAUCUACCAGACCUGUAUUACCCUCAGAUAAUAUCAUCAGACACCAUAAUGAACCUUCAGCUAGAAUCAAAUACUACAAUAGCUAUUUGAUAAUGACAGGGGACAAAAGUUAGAGAUAUGUUCAUGUGUGAUAUAGAGAUGUAAAAUAUGUUAUU